GGUAGAGCUACAACUGGAGCUAUAGGUGGUGGAGCUAUAACUGGAGCUGUAGGUGGUGGAGCUGGAGUGACUGAAUCUCCAAAAGAUGAAACUGGUAGUACCUCAGAAAUAUCUAAGUGAUGACCUGAACCUGUGAAGUAUGAUUGGGUUUCAAAGAAGGUAACAUCAGCGGACAUAAGGUACCGCUGGAGGUCAGGAGAGUAGCAUCGAUACCCCUUUUGUGUUCUCGAGAAACCCAGAAAUACGCACUUAAGAGCACGAAGAGCUAACUUAUCUGUUCCUGGAGUAAGGUUAUGGACAAAACAAGUGCUUCCAAAGAUACGAGGUGGAAGAGAGAACAAAGGUAAGUGGGGAAACAUGACAGAGAGCUGAAGAUGGCAUACGAUUAAUAAGAUAGCAAGA
rnacentral:lncRNA from 1 species